AGCAAUAAGGAACUCCCAUUUCCAUAGGCCAUCUCUUUUGUUGAGCCUGUUUGUUCUCUGCUACCUGGCUGUGUGAGUCACUGGAACACUGACCCUGCACUGAAGUCAGCAGAUUCUAUUUGGAGAGUCUUGGUGAUCGUGGGGGAAAGUUGAUGAAAAUGUUGACAAAAACAUUUACUCUCCCUGGUCCCUGAACACCUCUUUCCCACCGCUGCCAGAGGGAAUGCGUCCAACAUGACCAGCCACCUGUUUCCCUUUAUACGAGCACAAGAUGGGCGGCCACUUCCAGCGUACUCCUCACUGACACCAAAUAGCAGCGUGACGAUGAAUCAAAAGUCAUCGGCGGUAGAGAUCUACUUACCAAGAAACGACACUCAGCAAGAUAAACCAAAUGAAAGUCAUACAUUAAGUUGUUGGAGGGCGAGUGAGCUCCAAACCAUGGUCACUUCUACUUUGGCAAAGUGCAUUAUUCAUGAGAGUGCUUCAGCUGGCUCCCAGUGCCAAAGG